AACGAACGCUGGCGGCGUGCCUAACACAUGCAAGUCGAACGAGGUCUUCGGGUCUAGUGGCGCACGGGUGCGUAACGCGUGGGAAUCUGCCCUUUGGUUCGGAAUAACAGUUGGAAACGGCUGCUAAUACCGGAUGAUGACGAAAGUCCAAAGAUUUAUCGCCAGAGGAUGAGCCCGCGUAGGAUUAGCUAGUUGGUGUGGUAAAGGCGCACCAAGGCGACGAUCCUUAGCUGGUCUGAGAGGAUGAUCAGCCACACUGGGACUGAGACACGGCCCAGCCUCCUACGGGAGGCAGCAGUGGGGAAUAUUGGACAAUGGGCGAAAGCCUGAUCCAGCAAUGCCGCGUGAGUGAUGAAGGCCUUAGGGUUGUAAAGCUCUUUUACCCGGGAUGAUAAUGACAGUACCGGGAGAAUAAGCUCCGGCUAACUCCGUGCCAGCAGCCGCCGUAA
rnacentral:rRNA from 1 species